rnacentral:lncRNA from 15 species
AUAUAACAUGUCUGCAGCAGCAAGAAAGAAUCCAGACGCAGCCGCCUUUGUGUCUUAAAUCCUUUGAUUUCUCUGUUGUUGUGUUACUGGAUCAUACCUGGGCAUAGUCUCCUUAAAAAGGCCUAAGAAGCCUGAUUUUAAAAAAAGCCAUGCAAAGAACGACAAACCGGCAGACAGAAAGGAGGAGGGAGAAAAGUUGGAUGUAUUGUUCACACCAAUUAAACUGCCUAAGCUGAUCUGUAACCGUAGACCGGUUCAACUUUAUCUCUUUCCGCAUCAAGAGUUUCUACAAGGGGUUUAGAAAAUGAACAGGACAAGUCAAUCUGACCCAGUUCGCUGCUGUAGAGAACAGAACAUCUCAUCCUGGCUGUUUCUGACCUCAAAGCAAACAUUUGCUCGUCCAUUCCUCCCUAAAAAAAAAAAAACCCUCAGCAACAGAGUCGAAAUUAUCUCUAUCUUUGUUUCAAGCUGGCUGGAGUAGCAGAUGACUGUAGCGAAAUACAAAGUGAUAGAAAAGAUUGGACUCCGGUUGAUUUAACUUAUUGAAAACACGUGCGCGCACACGCACGCUUCGUCUUCUCAUUAUCUGACCACAAAAACGAACCCACCUUCAGUCAGACACUCAAAUCUACAUUCAGAUUUAUUUCUGUUUUGACAAAACUGCCUGUAACUACAAAGUGUCUCCCCACCCUGUCUGGUUAAGUUAUAUCUGUUCCUGUAAAAGAUUAAAAAGUAAGUGUGAAUGAAAAAUGGUGUCGAGGCAGUUUAUCUGCAUGCGAUUAACCAUAUCCCAGCAAUUAGACAUAGCCAAAACACGUAAAAGCCCUUUAUUGAGGUUUGCUGUGUUCCCCAAGAGAAGAUUCAUCGAGCCUGACAGGAACGCCGCAGGGACCAAGGUGAUAAUGGACCAAAGAGGUUUCUGCAGUUCUGUCAGUACGGCUGUCCCUUCCUGUUGACCUGCAGCAACAAGGAAGCGCUCCGACUCCAUUAUUUUGUCUUUUAGCUUCCUCUCUGCACUGGAAGUGGGAUUGUGCCACAAUGUGUUGUUUGACAUCUGCCUCUUGUGAUCACGUUGCAAAAACCUGAUCAGUUUUAUAAUAAAACGUAC